GGAGGUGUGGCUCAGUGGUAGAGUGAUUGCCUAGCAGGCACAGGACUUGAGUUCAAAUCUUAGUACUGCUU
rnacentral:tRNA from 1 species